AGAGUUUGAUCCUGGCUCAGAACGAACGCUGGCGGCAGGCCUCAAACAUGCAAGUCUAGGGGGCGUAGCAAUACGUCACCGGCGGACGGGUGCGUAACACGUGGGAAUGUACCUAUUGGUUCGGAACAACUCAGGGAAACUUGAGCUAAUACCGAAUGUGCCCGAAAGGGGAAAGAUUUAUCGCCAAUAGAUCAGCCCGCGUCCGAUUAGCUAGUUGGUGAGGUAAAGGCUCACCAAGGCGACGAUCGGUAGCUGUUCUGAGAGGAAGAUCAGCCACACUGGGACUGAGACACGGCCCAGACUCCUACGGGAGGCAGCAGUUGGGAAUCUUGGACAAUGGGGGAAACCCUGAUCCAGCCAUGCCGCGUGAGUGAUGAAGGCCUUAGGGUUGUAAAACUCUUUCGGCGGGGACGAUAAUGACGGUACCCGCAGAAGAAGCUCCGGCUAACUUCGUGCCAGCAGCCGCGGUAAUACGAAGGGGGCUAGCGUUGUUCGGAAUUACUGGGCGUAAAGCGUGCGCAGGCGGCCAUCCAAGUCAGUGGUGAAAGCCCGGAGCUCAACUCCGGAAUUGCCAUUGAAACUGUUCGGCUCGAGUACGAGAGAGGUGAGUGGAAUUCCCAGUGUAGAGGUGAAAUUCGUAGAUAUUGGGAAGAACACCGGUGGCGAAGGCGGCUCACUGGCUCGUAACUGACGCUCAUGCACGACAGCGUGGGGAUCAAACAGGAUUAGAUACCCUGGUAGUCC
rnacentral:rRNA from 1 species